rnacentral:rRNA from 1 species
AGGCCUAACACAUGCAAGUCGAGCGGUAGAGAGAAGCUUGCUUCUCUUGAGAGCGGCGGACGGGUGAGUAAUGCCUAGGAAUCUGCCUGGUAGUGGGGGAUAACGUUCGGAAACGGACGCUAAUACCGCAUACGUCCUACGGGAGAAAGCAGGGGACCUUCGGGCCUUGCGCUAUCAGAUGAGCCUAGGUCGGAUUAGCUAGUUGGUGAGGUAAUGGCUCACCAAGGCGACGAUCCGUAACUGGUCUGAGAGGAUGAUCAGUCACACUGGAACUGAGACACGGUCCAGACUCCUACGGGAGGCAGCAGUGGGGAAUAUUGGACAAUGGGCGAAAGCCUGAUCCAGCCAUGCCGCGUGUGUGAAGAAGGUCUUCGGAUUGUAAAGCACUUUAAGUUGGGAGGAAGGGCCAUUACCUAAUACGUGAUGGUUUUGACGUUACCGACAGAAUAAGCACCGGCUAACUCUGUGCCAGCAGCCGCGGUAAUACAGAGGGUGCAAGCGUUAAUCGGAAUUACUGGGCGUAAAGCGCACGC